UGUACUUUGAGGUUAUUUUUUCCUCUUGCUUAGGGGCUGGGAGGACCGAAGAGUUGUGAGAUGAAGUCAACUAGAAUUAUCUACGCAAGUUUCCUUGUCUACCAAAUGAAUAAAAGGACCAUGAAGAUCGCUGAAAUAUGUAGAGGACAAGUGGAACACAACCUGUAGAGGAGCGUGGGCGGGAUCAGGGGAACUAGUCAGAAUACUGUGGCAGCCCAGACCCACACUGAUGUUUUCCAGGAUCCUCAGAACAUGUAAAGCAGGUUCUCUCUUGAAGGGAGGUCUGAGUGGCAUACUCCCACAGCUGCUGUAUGUAGCUGCCCUACUGGAGAGACCCUGUGGAGAGGCCAUGUGAAGAGGAGAGAGCCUGAAUCUACAUGGAGAAGGAGCAAGGUCCAGUCACCUCAGUAUCCCGGAUCCCAGGUGAGCCUCCACAGGACUCCAGCCUCCGCCACCAUCUGACUGAAACUCCCAUAGGAGAAGCCUUCCAGUCAACCCACAACAUUACCGCUGAUUCGUUUUUACAAAUUGGGAAUAUGAUGAAGCACUGUGGUUACAGCAAAAAAUGCAAAUU
rnacentral:lncRNA from 1 species